GUGAUUGUCAAUUAUUUAUUUUAUAUAAUUAGGAGUGAUGUGACUAGACUAUUGCUGAGCUAUUUGCCGAUCCUGAUGAUGUGGCAAGAGGGAUUUUUAGUGCUGAUGAUGUGGCAGGAUGAGUUUGUGGCUGUGCUAUGACGGAGCUAUUGUUGGGCGAAGCUACUGUGAAUGCUCUUAGCGGAUAAAAACAAGAUUUUGAAUAUUUACCAUUUAACUUUGAAUUCUCUCCGCACUCUAUUUUCUUUCCUGCCGCCGCCGCCGCCGCCAUGCGAUCUGCGGCGGAGAAGCUCCGCUUCUUCCACCGAAGCUCAUCCCUCAAUCUCUUAUCUUCAUUCUCUGCAUCCAGACAAUUGAAGACGUCUACAAUAACGACCAACGCCCUAACCGAGGAAGAAGUUAACCAAAUCAACGCCGUAAUCCGCCGCUUAUGCGACUCAAACCACCUGAAAGAAGCUACCGAUCUCAUCUCCGCGGCCCUCUCCACCGCCAGACCUCCUCUCGCCUCACUCCCUGUCUCCUCUCUCAUCAGCCGCCUCGCUUCCCAACCCGAUCUUACCCACCCAAUGCACCUGCUCAACACCCUCAAAUUCAACCCUAACGCAUCGGAUCCGUCGGUUCUAAUCCCCGUCGUGAAAAUGAUCCUCGCCUCACUCUUCGAGAACGGUCGGCCGAAGAUGGCCGUCAAGAUUUUCCAGUGGGUGGCGCGGCCCGAUUUUCCCGGAGGUGUGGCGGUGGACCUGGAACUCUACGCUGGUUUGGUUGAUGGAUUUUGCAGGAAUGGAAUGAUGUUAGACAGUCUCCGUGUUUUGAGAGUGAUGGCAUGUGAAAAAUUGGUAAUUGGGGAUGGAAUUAGGGUUUGUAUUUACAGGGGUUUGUUGAGGGAGGCGAGGGUUAGGGAAGCUUUGGAGCUGAAUGCUGUAUUGGGGAGUUGUACUUCAGGGAGUGAUGGGGAUACUUGUGUUUCAGAGAAGGUUGUGCAUUUACUGGAGCGGAUUAUUUCAAAUUGGGUGGACUAGAAUUUAUGAUGCUGUGCAAGAGUUUAAGGUUGGCGACAGUUGGUUGGAGGAGUACAUCUCGCUUCACUACUUCCCGCUUCCAAAUUAGUUGUGCUGCAAAGAAAGAAACAGUAGACAAAGUGUGUGAAAUAGUGAGGAAGCAGCUUGCACUGCCUGCUGACAAGGAAAUCACCCCUCAGACUACUUUCACAGAUCUUUGAGCUGACUCCCUUGACACUGUGGAAAUAGUAAUGGGGCUGGAAGAAGAGUUUGACAUUACAGUCCAAGAGGAUAACCAAGACAACAUAUCAUGCAUCCGAGAAGCUGCUGAUCUCAUUGAACAGCUUGUUGCCAACAAAUCUUGAUACCUUCUUUUUUAUACUAGUACUAGUAUGUCAAACUUAGAAUUAUGAUGAUUAUUUGAUGUGGAAUUUUUUUUUUCUUUUGAGAUACUCCCUCCGUCCCAUAAAAGAUGACUCACUUUCCUUUUUA